CAAAGUUACAUAUACAUAUACAUAUAAUACAAAAGCCAAACAAUAUUUUUGUUGGUAUAAUCAAAAAUACAACUCAAGCAAGAAUAUACUUGUUUUAGGAAAUGACGGUAAUAUACGUGACAGCCUUACAAUGCCCAUGGAUUCAUGUACCUAUAUACUUUAUUGAGAAACCGGGCGACAGGAUUUCUUUUUGCAACAAUCCUAUCCUUGUACCAGAUUCGAAAGACAAUUGUAAUAUUUCUACCGGUGAUUCAAAUACGAAAAAGCUUCUAAAACAACUCAUCACAAGUUCUUCAUCCAAGCCAGAGAUUAUGGUUAUGCAACAUUUUCACAAGACCCAUCCGCAUUCGAAUCCCGUGAACUGAACGUUCUACGGUGUCGUACAACCUGUAUAAGUACAGGAUUUUACUCUGGUGAGAGAAUCACGAAAUUGCACCAUUUCUCACUAAUGAACGUCCCUGCACAUAGUUGAAAUACGUGUGUAUGGAUGUGCAUUUAUACGGAAGAAAUUAAGGAUUUUAUCAUAGGACUGGACACUCCGUGUGAUUGGAUAUACGAAAAGAUCAACUACGUUUUUCUCUUUGCUUU